GUUUGAUCCUGGCUCAAGAUGAACCCUUGCGGCAGGCUUAACACAUGCAAGUCGAGGGGCAGCAUGUCCAGCAAUGGAUGAUGGCGACCGGCGGAAGGGUGCGUAACGCGUGAGCAACAUGCCCUAUACAGGGAGAUACACCAGGGAAACUUGGUCUAAUAUCCCAUAGCAUUCAUUGAAGGCAUCUUUAAUGAAUUAAAGCUUCGGUGGUAUAGGAUUGGCUCGCGUGACAUUAGCCAGAUGGUGAGGUAACGGCUCACCAUAGCAAUGAUGUCUAGGGGUUUUGAGAGGAAGGCCCCCCACACUGGGACUGAGACACGGCCCAGACUCCUACGGGAGGCAGCAGUGAGGAAUAUUGGACAAUGGAUGGAAAUCUGAUCCAGCCAUGCCGCGUGCAGGAAGACGGCCUUAUGGGUUGUAAACUGCUUUUAUACGGGAGCAAUAAGGGUUACGAGUAAUCCGAUGAGAGUACUGUAUGAAUAAGGAUCGGCUAACUCCGUGCCAGCAGCCGCGGUAAUACGGAGGAUCCGAGCGUUAUCCGGAAUUAUUGGGUUUAAAGGGUGAGUAGGCGGUAGUAUAAGUCAGCGGUGAAAACUUGCAGCUCAACUGUAAGCUUGCCGUUGAAACUGUAUUACUUGAGUUAAGUUGAGGUAUGCGGAAUGUGGUGUGUAGCGGUGAAAUGCAUAGAUAUACCACAGAACGUCGAUUGCGAAGGCAGCAUACUAAGUUUAUACUGACGCUGAUGCACGAAAGCGUGGGGAUCAAAGAGGAUUAGAUACCCUGGUAGUCCACGCCGUAAACUAGAAUUCUUCGUUGUUUUGCGAUAUACGUAAGCGACUGCGCGAAAGCAUUAAGUAAUCCACCUGGGGGAGUACGUUGGCAACAAUGAAAUUCAAAGGAAUUGACGGGGGCCCGCACAAGCGGAGGAACAUGUGGUUUAAUUCGAUGAUACGCGAGGAACCUUACCUGGGCUUAAAUGGGAAGUGACAGUUUUGGAAACAAAAUUUUCUUCGGACACUUUUCAAGGUGCUGCAUGGUUGUCGUCAGCUCGUGCCGUGAGGUGUCGGGUUAAGUCCCAUAACGAGCGCAACCCUUGUCGAUAGUUGCCAGCAUGUAAUGAUGGGGACUCUAUCGAGACUGCCGGUGUAAACCGUGAGGAAGGUGGGGAUGACGUCAAAUCAGCACGGCCCUUACGUCCAGGGCUACACACGUGUUACAAUGGUCGGUACAAUGGGCAGCUACUCAGCGAUGAGAUGCUAAUCUUCAAAACCGAUCUCAGUUCGGAUCGGAGUCUGCAACUCGACUCCGUGAAGCUGGAUUCGCUAGUAAUCGCAUAUCAGCCAUGAUGCGGUGAAUACGUUCCCGGGCCUUGUAC
rnacentral:rRNA from 1 species